rnacentral:rRNA from 1 species
UCUUGGUCAUUUAGAGGAAGUAAAAGUCGUAACAAGGUCUCCGUUGGUGAACCAGCGGAGGGAUCAUUGCUGGAACGCGCCCCAGGCGCACCCAGAAACCCUUUGUGAACUUAUACCUUACUGUUGCCUCGGCGCAUGCCGGCCCCCCUGGGGGCCCCUCACCCCCGGGUGUUGAGACAGCCCGCCGGCGGCCAACCCAACUCUUGUUUUUACACUGAAACUCUGAGAAUAAAACAUAAAUGAAUCAAAACUUUCAACAACGGAUCUCUUGGUUCUGGCAUCGAUGAAGAACGCAGCGAAAUGCGAUAAGUAAUGUGAAUUGCAGAAUUCAGUGAAUCAUCGAAUCUUUGAACGCACAUUGCGCCCUCUGGUAUUCCGGAGGGCAUGCCUGUUCGAGCGUCAUUUCAACCCUCAAGCCUGGCUUGGUGAUGGGGCACUGCUUCUUACCCAAGGAGCAGGCCCUGAAAUUCAGUGGCGAGCUCGCCAGGACCCCGAGCGCAGUAGUUAAACCCUCGCUCUGGAAGGCCCUGGCGGUGCCCUGCCGUUAAACCCCCAACUUCUGAAAAUUUGACCUCGGAUCAGGUAGGAAUACCCGCUGAACUUAAGCAUAUCAAUAAGCGGAGGAA